rnacentral:rRNA from 1 species
UUAAGAAAAUAAGUGCAAGCGGUGGAUGCCUUGGCAUUCAGAGGCGAUGAAGGACGUGAUAAUCUGCGAUAAGCUUCGGUUAGCUGGUAAAUGAGCUAUGACCCGGAGAUUUCCGAAUGGGGGAACCCACCUGACACAAGUUGGGUACUCACUCGAUAUAGAGUGUAGAGCGAACGAGGGGAACUGAAACAUCUAAGUACCCUUAGGAAGAGAAAUCAAUUGAGAUUCCCGUAGUAGUGGCGAGCGAAGUGGGAAGAGCCUGGUAUGAUUUAGCUGUAAUUAUAGUAGAACAAGUUGGGAAGCUUGACGAUAGAGGGUGAUAGUCCCGUAUACGAAAUAAUCACAGUGGAACUAAGCAUACGAACAAGUAGGACGGGGCACGUGGAACCUUGUCUGAAUAUGGGGGGACCAUCCUCCAAGGCUAAAUACUCCUGAAUGACCGAUAGUGAACUAGUACCGUGAGGGAAAGGUGAAAAGAACCCUUAUAAAGGGAGUGAAAUAGAAUCUGAAACCGCUUGCAUACAAGCAGUAGGAGCAUGAUUUAGUCAUGUGACUGCGUACCUUUUGUAUAAUGGGUCAGCGAGUUAUUUUUAGUGGCGAGGAUAACUGAAUAAGGGAUCCGUAGCGAAAGCGAGUUUUAAUAGGGCGACUAGUCGCUAGGAGUAGACCCGAAACCGGCGCGAUCUAUCCAUGGCCAGGUUGAAGAUUAGGUAGUACUAAUUGGAGGACCGAACCCAAUACUGUUGCAAAAGUAUGGGAUGAGCUGUGGAUCGGAGUGAAAGGCUAAUCAAGCACGGAGAUAGCUGGUUCUCCCCGAAAACUAUUUAGGUAGUGCCUCGUGUAUAACUCAUUGGGGUAAAGCACUGUUUCGACAAUGGGGGUUUUACGACCUUACUGACUCGAUGCAAACUCAGAAUACGAUGAAGUUCGAUCACGGGAGACACACUGCGGGUGCUAAGGUCCGCAGUGGAAAGGGAAACAGCCCAGACCGCCAACUAAGGUCCCAAAGUCAUAGCUAAGUGGGAAACGAAGUGGGAAGGCCCAGACAGCCAGGAGGUUGGCUUAGAAGCAGCCACCCUUUAAAGAAAGCGUAAUAGCUCACUGGUCGAGUCGGCCUGCACGUAAGAUUUAACGGGGCUAAGCUAUGCACUGAAGUUGCGGAAUAUAUUUAGUAUAUUGGUAGGGGAGCGUUCUGUAAGCCGAUGAAGGUGAAUUGAGAAGUUUGCUGGAGGUAUCAGAAGUGCGAAUGCUGACAUGAGUAACGUAAAAUAAGUGAGAUUCUUAUUGGCCGAAAACCCAAGGGUUCCUACGCAAUGUUAAUCAACGUAGGGUAAGCCGGCCCCUAAGGCGUAGCUGAAGAGUGAAGUCGAUGGGAAACAGGUUAAUAUUCCUGUGCUGCUUAUAUGAACGAAGGAGGGACGGAGAAGGUUAGGUAGGCCUGGCGAAUGGUUGUCCAGGUGAAAGUAUGUAGGUAGGAAUGCUAGGCAAAUCCGGUGUUCUGUUGAUCUGAGAUACGAGACGAAGUUAAACUUGUUUGACGAAGCUAUUGAUACCAUGCUUCCAGGAAAAGCUUCUAAGUAUAUUGUAUAAGUGACCGUACUGUAAACCGACACUGGUGGGUAGGUAGAGAAUACUAAGGCUAUGAGAUAACUCUGGUGAAGGAACUAGGCAAAAUGACACCGUAACUUUGGAAGAAGGUGUGCCCUUGAUGGUGAUGAGACUUGCUCUUUGAGCUGUUGGGGGUUGCAGAUACCAGGUGGCUGCGACUGUUUAUCAAAAACACAGCACUCUGCGAAAUCGUAAGAUGAAGUAUAGGGUGUGACGCCUGCCCGGUGCUGGAAGGUUAAUUGAAGGGGUUAGCGCAAGCGAAGCUCUGGAUCGAAGCCCCAGUAAACGGCGGCCGUAACUAUAACGGUCCUAAGGUAGCGAAAUUCCUUGUCGGGUAAGUUCCGACCUGCACGAAUGGCGUAACGAUGGCCACACUGUCUCCACCAGAGACUCAGUGAAAUUGAAAUCGCUGUGAAGAUGCAGUGUACCCGCGGUUAGACGGAAAGACCCCGUGAACCUUUACUAUAGCUUUGCACUGGACUUUGAAUAUUUAUGUGUAGGAUAGGUGGGAGACCAUGAAGCAGCUACGCCAGUAGUUGUGGAGUCGUCCUUGAAAUACCACCCUUGAAUAUUUGAAGUUCUAACUCAGGAGAGAUUCGAGGACAGUGUAUGGUGGGUAGUUUGACUGGGGCGGUCUCCUCCUAAAGAGUAACGGAGGAGUACGAAGGUGCACUCGGUACGGUCGGAAAUCGUGCCAAGAGUAUAAAGGCAAAAGUGCGCUUGACUGCGAGAG